AAUUCUAGUAGUUUAAAUAAAACAUUGGUCUUGUAAACCAAAAACUGAAAAAUCGCACUUUCCUAGAAUUA
rnacentral:tRNA from 1 species